AGAGUUUGAUCCUGGCUCAGAUUGAACGCUGGCGGCAUGCCUUACACAUGCAAGUCGAACGGCAGCACGGGUGCUUGCACCUGGUGGCGAGUGGCGAACGGGUGAGUAAUGUAUCGGAACGUACCAUUCAGUGGGGGAUAACUAUCCGAAAGGAUAGCUAAUACCGCAUAUUCUGUGAGCAGGAAAGCAGGGGAUCGCAAGACCUUGCGCUGAUUGAGCGGCCGAUAUCAGAUUAGCUAGUUGGUGGGGUAAAAGCCUACCAAGGCGACGAUCUGUAGCGGGUCUGAGAGGAUGAUCCGCCACACUGGAACUGAGACACGGUCCAGACUCCUACGGGAGGCAGCAGUGGGGAAUUUUGGACAAUGGGCGAAAGCCUGAUCCAGCCAUGCCGCGUGAGUGAAGAAGGCCUUCGGGUUGUAAAGCUCUUUCGGCCGGGAAGAAAUCGCAUAGGUUAAUACCCUGUGUGGAUGACGGUACCGGAAUAAGAAGCACCGGCUAACUACGUGCCAGCAGCCGCGGUAAUACGUAGGGUGCGAGCGUUAAUCGGAAUUACUGGGCGUAAAGCGUGCGCAGGCGGUUUUUUAAGACAGGCGUGAAAUCCCCGGGCUCAACCUGGGAACUGCAUUUGUGACUGCAAGGCUAGAGUACGGCAGAGGGGGAUGGAAUUCCGCGUGUAGCAGUGAAAUGCGUAGAUAUGCGGAGGAACACCGAUGGCGAAGGCAGCCCCCCUGGGCCGAUACUGACGCUCAUGCACGAAAGCGUGGGGAGCAAACAGGAUUAGAUACCCUGGUAGUCCACGCCCUAAACGAUGUCAACUAGGUGUUGGGUGGGUAAAACCAUUUAGUACCGGAGCUAACGCGUGAAGUUGACCGCCUGGGGAGUACGGCCGCAAGGUUAAAACUCAAAGGAAUUGACGG
rnacentral:rRNA from 1 species